ensembl:lncRNA
GUUGCCGUGAAGGGUCCGUGAUUGGCUUUGGGGCUCGCUGUGUGCUGAAUAAUCCGCCUUUCUCUCUGAUUGAUUUCAAAAUUAUUCAUUCUUUGUAUUUUUUUGCUUUUUAGGUGAAACUGUUGAGGAUCAGUCACAGAAGAUUCAGUCCAUGAACAUUGAGCAGCCCACAACAAAUGUAAUAGUACAACCAUCUAAUCCAUCCAGUGCCGGGAACAGAGGAAUUACAGAGACAACUCGGCCUUCCUCCCAGCCCACGUCUGCCAAGAUGUCCUCAGAAACACACGCUGUAGACGCCACCCCGGCCCUCCCUGAGCUUCUAGGAGACAUACCUUUCACUUUAGCACCACACAUCGUGGCCAUGCAGGCGGGCCUGCCCUUUGUAACAGAUGUCACCUUGCCUCACAACAUAAAUGACAAACUAGCCAACUUUCGUUAUGACUUCACCUUGGAGAACUCGGUGCUUUGUGAGCCGUGACUCUUUGCCCAUCAGUUAUAUCACUAAACGCGUGGUGAACUAUGGGCCUUUGGUUGUCAAGAUCCUCUUUAACCACUUGCCUCUUAAAUAAACGAAUAUCUAGUUUAGCUGACAAAAAUCAGUCACUGACUAGAGGGUGUUGGGCUGGACUGAACAUACUGUCCUUUUAGUUUAAAUAAGUUAGCAUCAAGAUGGUUUGCCAUCCCUCAGGAUCCCGCACUUGAUUGUGAGAUGAGCAUUACUGCCUUGUUUUAACGCAGUACACGAGUAUUUAUAAGAUGACCUGUGGCUUUACGUUUUUCAAAUGUAGUUCAAAUUUUACGGGUGUAAUAUCUGUGCAAUUUUGCAUUUCAACUCUGUUGGGGUCCUGGUAGCAUAAAAUGAUAUGCUGAACUGAAAUAGGGUUGUUUUGAAACUGCUCUGUUUCUUAGUAGUUGCUUUGGGCUGUUUGAUGUUUCAGACGUCACUGUCUGUGUUGGCCUUCCUUAGUUUUUUCUUACUUCUGCAAAAACUCACUGUAAUUUAUGGAAUCGGUUUUAAGAUCAUUGACUGAAAACAGUCAUGAUACAUAGGAAAUGUAUUUUAUAGUAAUCUAUCUCUCAGUGAUCUUUAAACAUAUGUAAAAUAAAUAAUUCAGUAAUAGAAGUAUUUUAUUCAAAUACAAAUUAUAUUUAAAAAAAUGUAUAUUAAAAAUGGCAAUCGUAAUGGCCUUUUGGCUAGUCCACUAUUUACUGUAACUCUACUUUUAGUACCUAUAAACCUUAAAGGCGAAAAAAACACUCCCUGUCUGCUAUUGGUCAGUCAAACAGAUAGUCCCGCCCUAAACGGUUGCUAUUGGUUGAGUCAGAUGGCUGGUUGGGAUGUGCAAACAGAACAAUGUCCUGAUACUGACUAGUGUUUUGCACUUUUAAGGGGAAUCAGGAUAGAAUAUUGCUUACUUGUAGUUGUCUCUGCAUAUAAUGCUGGGAUAUGAAGUAUUUUUACAUCACAAAAAUUACGCACAUCACUUUAAGUUCCUUAUGAAUGGAUUGCACUUAAAAUCACGAAACACAUUGAAGGGCUUUUUAUAAAUAGGCCGAUAUCAUAUCUCUUUGUUCAUAAAAGAAUGCUUUUGUCUUCUGUUUGUGUGAAUAUGCAUACCUCGACUGGUGUUGUUUGGCUUUAAUGCAUGAUGUUUUGAAGUUCUGCCUAAACAUGACACACCCCAUUUUGGGAGGCAGAUAUGUAUUCUGUUUAAGUUUGAUUGCAAAAACAUGCACAUGGGUUUUAGUAGGAUUUACUGUUCUGUUUGGAUAGGCCACACAGUUGUUGAGCUGUUUUUUCUUGUUUUUCUUUCAUCUGAAUUUCAGUUAAUUGGAUGGGUUUUAUCAUCGUGCGUGCUGCUAUUUACACAAUGCACUCAGGAGUUUAGCUGUUUCUCCUUUACAUCCUCUGUACUUUACUUGAUAGCAGUUUAGUUUAUUUACUUGAUACCAUUUCAUAUCUCACUUAAAAAAAAACAUAUUUUAUUAGUCUGUGUUUUGAUUUGUCUGUCUUUCGGACAUGGUUAUUUUAUCCAAGCUUCCUCCUAAUGUAUCUGACUGACCUAUCCUUUUCAAAACAUUGUACUGAAGUAAUCAAAGUUGUGUUUGCUCUAUAAAAAUGUCUGUAAAAUAAUUUAAUCACCUUAACUCCUUUGUUGGAUUCCUUAUUGAUUCAUAUCUGGAACAGAAUUCAUCAUUGUUUCUGAUCCCACAUGAUGUUUAAAUUCUGAGCAUGUA